CCCUUAGAUGUCCUGGGCUGCACGCGCGCUACACUGGAAGUUACGGAUUGAGAUACUACCUUGUCCGAAAUGGUCCGGGUAAUCACCUAAAAGCUUGUCAUAAUUGGAAUGGAUUAUUGUAACUAGUAACCCUGAACGAGGAAUUCCUAGUAAGUCCCAGUCAACAGCUGGUACUGAUUACGUCCCUGCCCUUUGUACACACCGCCCGUCGCUACUACUGAUUGGACGUUUAAGCAAGAUUUUUAAACACUGACAGUGUGUAGUUCACGCUAUACUACAGUGAGAAGAAGAAGAUCGAGCUUACUUGUCUAGAGGAAGUAAAAGUCGUAACA
rnacentral:rRNA from 1 species